UACGGAGGGUGCGAGCGUUGUCCGGAAUCACUGGGCGUAAAGGGCGCGUAGGUGGCCUGUGGAAGUCUGCGGUGAAAGCCCGGCGCUCAACGCCGGGUCGGCCGUGGAUACUCUCGGGCUUGAGCUUACUAGAGGCAGAUGGAAUUCCGGGUGUAGCGGUGGAAUGCGUAGAGAUCCGGAAGAACACCGGUGGCGAAGGCGGUCUGCUGGGGUAAUGCUGACACUGAUGCGCGACAGCGUGGGGGAGCAAACAGG
rnacentral:rRNA from 1 species